GGAGAGGUCGCAUAGUGGCCUAGUGCGCUUGCUUGGAAAGCAAGCAUACCUUCAUCGGUAUCGGGAGUUCGAAUCUCCCCUUCUCCGCCA
rnacentral:tRNA from 1 species